AUUGAACGCUGGCGGCAGGCCUAACACAUGCAAGUCGAGCGGAUGAGAAGAGCUUGCUCUUCGAUUCAGCGGCGGACGGGUGAGUAAUGCCUAGGAAUCUGCCUGGUAGUGGGGGACAACGUUUCGAAAGGAACGCUAAUACUGCAUACGUCCUACGGGAGAAAGAAGGGGACCUUCGGGCCUUGCGCUAUCAGAGGAGCCUAGGUCUGGAUUAGCUAGUUGGUGAGGUAAUGGCUCACCAAGGCGACGAUCCGUAACUGGUCUGAGAGGAUGAUCAGUCACACUGGAACUGAGACACGGUCCAGGCUCCUACGAGAGGCAGCAGUGGGGAAUAUUGGACAAUGGGCGAAAGCCUGAUCCAGCCAUGCCGCGUGUGUGAAGAAGGUCUUCGGAUUGUAAAGCACUUUAAGUUGGGAGGAAGGGCAGUAAGUUAAUACCUUGCUGUUUUGACGUUACCGACAGAAUAAGCACCGGCUAACUCUGUGCCAGCAGCCGCGGUAAGAC
rnacentral:rRNA from 1 species